rnacentral:rRNA from 1 species
UACGGAGGAUCCGAGCGUUAUCCGGAUUUAUUGGGUUUAAAGGGUGCGCAGGCGGGAGAUUAAGUCGGCGGUGAAAUUUUGCAGCUCAACUGUAAAAGUGCCUUCGAAACUGGUUUCCUUGAGUGUAGAUGAAGUAGGCGGAAUUUGUGGUGUAGCGGUGAAACGCAUAGAUAUCACGAGGAACUCCGAUUGCGCAGGCAGCUUACUAAACUACUACUGACGCUCAGGCACGAAGGCGUGGGGAUCAAACAGGAUUAGAUACCCUGGUAGU